rnacentral:rRNA from 1 species
GAUGAACGCUGGCGGCGUGCCUAAUACACGCAAGUCGAGCGAACGGACGAGAAGCUUGCUUUUCUGAUGUUAGCGGCGGACGGGUGAGUAACACGUGGAUAACCUACCUAUAAGACUGGGAUAACUUCGGGAAACCGGAGCUAAUACCGGAUAAUAUUUUGAACCGCAUGGUUCAAAAGUGAAAGACGGUCUUGCUGUCACUUAUAGAUGGAUCCGCGCUGCAUUAGCUAGUUGGUAAGGUAACGGCUUACCAAGGCAACGAUGCAUAGCCGACCUGAGAGGGUGAUCGGCCACACUGGAACUGAGACACGGUCCAGACUCCUACGGGAGGCAGCAGUAGGGAAUCUUCCGCAAUGGGCGAAAGCCUGACGGAGCAACGCCGCGUGAGUGAUGAAGGUCUUCGGAUCGUAAAACUCUGUUAUUAGGGAAGAGCAUAUGUGUAAGUAACUGUGCACAUCUUGACGGUACCUAAUCAGAAAGCCACGGCUAACUACGUG